rnacentral:lncRNA from 10 species
CCGAGAGGGGUGCACUUAGCCAACUGCCCUCCAUUGGCUGCUGGAAGAGACCACAGACAAUGCGCCCUUCUGUUUUCUGUUGUCAGGGUUGAAGAUAGCAAGUGCAUCUCUGGGCAACUACUGCAGCUGGCUGUGGGGGACUGAUGCAUACUGUUGAGGCUGAUCUUACUCUGUCUCCUCUCUAUGUUGGACAACAUCAUUGUCACUAUCAACAUGACUUUGUCCCUUCUUGCUGUCUCCCUUUUAUCCCUCCAAAUGCUCAAUCGAAAUACCUGAACUACCCGAAAGUUAAAUGCACCACUGCAUCUAUUCAGGUUCAAGAACAGUAUUUCACAUUACCUGUGAAGCCCUCAAUGAAGGCUGACUGCUGUACAUCCCCGCUAAUCGUCAAGACAAGAAUUUUGUAUUGGCGGCCUGGUGUUAGGGAAGUAAAUCGAUACUCGGUUGCGGUAUUUACAAGGUGAAAAGGAGGAAAUACUUUCAUGUCAUUGAAGAGCAGCUGGAUCUCAUAUUGGUCGACAUCCCCAUUAGCUCCUGACCAAGUCACAUGCAAGUCCUCAGUGCUCCUGUUGCGCAAUGUUAGAUCCUUAACAGGCUCUGGAACUAGGGAGAAAAAUGAGAAGACAUUUCAGGAAAGGAACUGAUCAGAGUUUACCUACAUAAUAAUUUAUGAAUCACAUUCAAGGAACUGGCAACAUCUCCCUUCCCCAAAUAAACCACUAGCACUACUUCAUGCAUAAUUAAACAAGAAAAAUU